UCUUACGGAUGAACAAAGUGGUUUCUUGAGAUGGAAUCUACUCUUGGUGAAGAUGCUGUGAA
rnacentral:pre_miRNA from 1 species